rnacentral:rRNA from 1 species
UACACUCCUACGGGAGGCAGCAGUGGGGAAUAUUGCACAAUGGGCGCAAGCCUGAUGCAGCCAUGCCGCGUGUAUGAAGAAGGCCUUCGGGUUGUAAAGUACUUUCAGCGGGGAGGAAGGUGUUGAGGUUAAUAACCUCAGCAAUUGACGUUACCCGCAGAAGAAGCACCGGCUAACUCCGUGCCAGCAGCCGCGGUAAUACGGAGGGUGCAAGCGUUAAUCGGAAUUACUGGGCGUAAAGCGCACGCAGGCGGUCUGUCAAGUCGGAUGUGAAAUCCCCGGGCUCAACCUGGGAACUGCAUUCGAAACUGGCAGGCUAGAGUCUUGUAGAGGGGGGUAGAAUUCCAGGUGUAGCGGUGAAAUGCGUAGAGAUCUGGAGGAAUACCGGUGGCGAAGGCGGCCCCCUGGACAAAGACUGACGCUCAGGUGCGAAAGCGUGGGGAGCAAACAGGAUUAGAAACCCUAGUAGUCCCAUG